rnacentral:rRNA from 1 species
UACGGAAGGGGCAAGCGUUGUUCGGAAUCAUUGGGCGUAAAGGGCGCGUAGGCUGUCUUGUGUGUUUGCUGUAAAAACGCACGGCUCAACCGUGUGAGGUCGGUGAAAACUGCAAGACUUGAGGCUGGGAGAGGCUGGUGGAAUUCCCUGUGUAGCGGUGAAAUGCGUAGAUAUAGGGGAGAACACUCGUGGCGAAGGCGGCCAGCUAGACCAGUCCUGACGCUGAGGCGCGACAGCGUGGGGAGCAAACAGG